rnacentral:rRNA from 1 species
UACAGGGGGUGCGAGCGUUAAUCGGAAUUACUGGGCGUAAAGGGCUCGUAGGCGGCCAACUAAGUCGGACGUGAAAUCCCCAGGCUCAACCUGGGAACUGCGUCCGAUACUGGAUGGCUUGAAUUCGGGAGAGGGAUGCAGAAUUCCAGGUGUAGCGGUGAAAUGCGUAGAUAUCUGGAGGAAUACCGGUGGCGAAGGCGGCAUCCUGGACCGACAUUGACGCUGAGGAGCGAAAGCUAGGGGAGCAAACGGG